rnacentral:rRNA from 1 species
GACGAACGCUGGCGGUGUGCUUAACACAUGCAAGUCGAACGGAAAGGCCCUGCUUUUGUGGGGUGCUCGAGUGGCGAACGGGUGAGUAACACGUGAGUAACCUGCCCUUGACUUUGGGAUAACUUCAGGAAACUGGGGCUAAUACCGGAUAGGAGCUCCUGCUGCAUGGUGGGGGUUGGAAAGUUUCGGCGGUUGGGGAUGGACUCGCGGCUUAUCAGCUUGUUGGUGGGGUAGUGGCUUACCAAGGCUUUGACGGGUAGCCGGCCUGAGAGGGUGACCGGCCACAUUGGGACUGAGAUACGGCCCAGACUCCUACGGGAGGCAGCAGUGGGGAAUAUUGCACAAUGGGCGGAAGCCUGAUGCAGCAACGCCGCGUGCGGGAUGACGGCCUUCGGGUUGUAAACCGCUUUCGCCUGUGACGAAGCGUGAGUGACGGUAAUGGGUAAAGAAGCACCGGCUAACUACGUGCCAGCAGCCGCGGUGAUACGUAGGGCGCGAGCGUUGUCCGGAUUUAUUGGGCGUAAAGGGCUCGUAGGUGGUUGAUCGCGUCGGAAGUGUAAUCUUGGGGCUUAACCCUGAGCGUGCUUUCGAUACGGGUUGACUUGAGGAAGGUAGGGGAGAAUGGAAUUCCUGGUGGAGCGGUGGAAUGCGCAGAUAUCAGGAGGAACACCAGUGGCGAAGGCGGUUCUCUGGGCCUUUCCUGACGCUGAGGAGCGAAAGCGUGGGGAGCGAACAGGCUUAGAUACCCUGGUAGUCCACGCUGUAAACGGUGGGUACUAGGUGUGGGGUCCAUUCCACGGGUUCCGUGCCGUAGCUAACGCUUUAAGUACCCCGCCUGGGGAGUACGGCCGCAAGGCUAAAACUCAAAGGAAUUGACGGGGCCCCGCACAAGCGGCGGAGCAUGCGGAUUAAUUCGAUGCAACGCGUAGAACCUUACCUGGGUUUGACAUGGAUCGGGAGUGCUCAGAGAUGGGUGUGCCUCUUUUGGGGUCGGUUCACAGGUGGUGCAUGGCUGUCGUCAGCUCGUGUCGUGAGAUGUUGGGUUAAGUCCCGCAACGAGCGCAACCCUUGUUCACUGUUGCCAGCACGUUAUGGUGGGGACUCAGUGGAGACCGCCGGGGUCAACUCGGAGGAAGGUGGGGAUGACGUCAAGUCAUCAUGCCCCUUAUGUCCAGGGCUUCACGCAUGCUACAAUGGCUGGUACAGAGAGUGGCGAGCCUGUGAGGGUGAGCGAAUCUCGGAAAGCCGGUCUCAGUUCGGAUUGGGGUCUGCAACUCGACCUCAUGAAGUCGGAGUCGCUAGUAAUCGCAGAUCAGCAACGCUGCGGUGAAUACGUUCCCGGG